rnacentral:rRNA from 1 species
UACGAGGGGGGCGAGCGUUGUUCGGAAUUAUUGGGCGUAAAGCGUGCGCAGGCGGUUUGCUAAGACCGAUGUGAAAUCCCCGGGCUUAACCUGGGAACUGCAUUGGUGACUGGCAGGCUAGAGUAUGGCAGAGGGGGGUAGAAUUCCACGUGUAGCAGUGAAAUGCGUAGAGAUGUGGAGGAAUACCGAUGGCGAAGGCAGCCCCCUGGGCCAAUACUGACGCUCAUGCACGAAAGCGUGGGAGCAAACAGG